rnacentral:rRNA from 1 species
UACAGAGGUGGCAAGCGUUGUUCGGAAUUACUGGGCGUAAAGGGCGCGUAGCGGCCGCCUAAGUCAGACGUGAAAUCCCCAAGCUUAACUUGGGAACUGCGUCUGAUACUGGGUGGCUCGAGUUCGGGAGAGGAAUGUGGAAUUCCAGGUGUAGCGGUGAAAUGCGCAGAUAUCAGGAGGAACACCGAUUGCGAAGGCAGCUCGCUGGGACGUCACUGACGCUGAGACGCGAAAGCGUGGGGAGCAAACAGG